AAAAAAAGAUUCUCCAGAUUGGGCAACUAAAUGCUUAAUCAAAUCAUUUUUGAAACACUGUUUCCUAAUAAGGUCUUGAUCCACAGAGCACUUCUUAAGAGGCCUUGUGGGACCCAAGUCUCCACUGGAAUCCUGUUUCCUGGGAGCCUGAUGUGCAGCACUAAAGACGUGAAACAAUAAGGAUGGAGCCAAAUUGUUCUUUAUAAGGAAGAUUGGUGGUAAUAAUUUAUAUUAUUAGUGAGGUGGGUGAAGGUGUUGUCUGUAAAUUGGUUGGCCAAGUCCCCGAGAAUGGUCUCUGAUGGGAGACUGACCUGAGUUUGAGUCCUGGCUCUGUUACUUAUCAACUCUGAGAUUUUUGAGAAACUCAGAGACCUCAUCUAUAAAGCAGGAAGCCAUACUUACCUUGAGAUCAUAUUAAUUUUACAGUCAUAGUUACCAUGCUAACGUGGGGGACAAGUGAAAUAGUUAUUCUUACCAAAUCCCCAGUGCUUGGAGCAAAGAAGGGUCCUCCGCCAGUGCCGAGGGAUGGCAAGUGAGCAACCCUGCCGGUGGGUUUCAUUCAGAGAGGUAUUGGCAGGGACCCAGGCUUCGGAAUUUAAGGAAAGGGAUGUAAAGAGUAAAAGGAAAAUAUAUCAUGGUGGAAAGAGGUUAUUGCUUUCAAGACCUAGAUGAGUAGGCUGAUUGAACUAUACAUAUCUAAUUCCUGAAAGAUAGCCUAGCAAAGCAGUUGAAUUACCAUUUUAAAGCAUUUGCUAUUAAUGCGAAAGACCUGAUGGCCAUUUUCUAAAGAACCCUAAUAACAACUCUGCUAGUGGCUUAAAGAAUUUAUUUUAUAAGAAAUGUGUGUAAAUAAUCAUUAAAUGUAGUCAAGGCAUUGAUUAGGUACUCAAAAAUAUUUAUUGAAUGAAGUAUAUUAUAUGAGUGUCUUAGGGUUAGUAGAAUUUAUACCAUAUAACAAUUAGAUAUUUAAAAAUGAAGAUGAUAGUCACAGAAGUUAGCCAAAUGGAAAAGGAAAAAUUAACUAAGAGAAAGGGUAAAACACUUAAUAUAGGAAUGUUCUUAAGUCUAAAUAGACUCAGUGAGAGGUGGGUGGGUACAAGAUAAGCAGCUAGAGAGUUCUGAAUGGAUUUAGUCCUUAUCUAUGCUCACAAAAGGAGCUGGCUACCAGAAGGCAAAAACAAAGCAGAAUCAUCUCUAAAGAAUUCUGUAUUUGUCUUUGAAUGUCUCAUAGGAUGAUUAUUUUGGUUCAUAUCAACUGUCCUGGUUAAGUUGGUUUCAACGCUGCUUUUCCUGAGUAUGCACCAGCUGAUAGUAAGGGCUGACACUCAGCAAUGUGUAGGGGAACUUUUCUUCCCUGGGAUUAAAAUUGUGGACAUGUAUAAUCCUCAGACAGAGCUGGGAGGAAGUCAAUCAUUCUGGGUAUCUGAGUUUUUCACGUCCCAAGAAAAACUACCCUGAAAGCACAAGUUCAACUGCUUUCCUCAUCAGGAAAGUAGUCUAUGUUUAAAGGAAAAAUGAAUGAGAGUAUUUAACUGUGGUUCAUCCAUACCAUGGACCACUACUCAGCAAUAAAAUGAACCAGGUACUGAUUUACUCUACAACUUGGAUGACUCUCCAGAGAAUUAUGAUGAGUAAAAAAGCAUAAUCUACAAGGCUAUCCAGUGUAUGAUUCCAUUUAUAUCAACAUUCUUAAAGUGAAAAAUUAUAUAAAUGGAGAAUAGAUGAGGAGUCUAGGGUGGGGGUGGUGAUGGGAUGGGUGUGGUGUUUGUGAGGGACCCUUGUGGUGAUUGGACUGUCAGUACCUUGACUCUACCAAUGUCAGUAUUCUGGUUGUGAUGUGGUUCUAGAGUUUUGUAAGAUGGAGAGUAGAAACUGGGGAAAAGGAACAUGGGAUUUCUCUGUAUUAUUUCUUACAAUUGCAUGUGAACCUAUAAUCAUCUUCAAAUAAAACUUCAAUU